AUGAUUUUUUUCCUCUGAAAUCUACUUUGUAUGAUAUUAAUACAGCGACUCUGGCCUGUGGCUAACUCUAUCAUUUCUUUCUUCCAGGGACAAAAACCUGAAUGAGACGCCCUCUACCUAGGGAGGGACUGAAAUUGAUCACAAAGUGUCUCCUCCAAGAAGCUGGAAGCUUGUUAGAACUAUUCAUGAAAAAUAAUUCUAUGAGUGUUUUCCCUUAAGGUUCCAAAGGCAACUUGGAAGGGAAAAGGGACCCUUCGAGAAAGUUCCAGGAAAAAGCCACUCCCAAAAAGCCUACCGCUUCAAGAAAACCUGAGGAAGGCAACGGGCCAACACUAUCCAGCCACUAUGACCAGCUGAAUGGGAAACUCACUCAAAAUGAGCCACAGCAGGACCAAAUUAGCCAGGAGACCUCCACAAUCUCCAGCGUCUCCCUGGACAGCCAGUGAUUUCAAGGCAAGUUCAGAGGCCUAGAUCUAUCUGAGAGGUCUCCAGAGAUCUGACCCCAGAGAAAUAGCCAGCAGGGUCUAGAAUACAUUCUACACCCCACAGGGUACGCCCCAUGGUGAUGAAAAUAAAAUGAAUCUGUUGUAAAAUGA